rnacentral:lncRNA from 1 species
CGAAUUGCGAGAGAAGAUGAACUGAAAAUUGAAUCCAAUUUAAGGAUGGCGACAAUGAAAAACAAUGAAGAAUAUAAUGAACAGAGAAGAGAAGCGAGGUCCAUUAAUGAAUAGACAAAUGACCGAGAUUGUGAACGGUGAACACAGUGACCGGAGAAUAAAAGACAAACCUGGAUGGCAAUAUUGACACACUUACCUUAGAGAUUUCAAUGGAGGAAGAAGACUCAGUAACGGAGGAAGAAUAAAACCUGAACUUAGGGAUUUCAAUGGCAAACUAAACAACGAUUUCAAUGCCAAACCGAACGAUGAGUUCAAUGGCACGACGGUAGGGCCAAGAACUGUGAUGCACAUGAAGGAUUUCAAUGGAGCAAGAAUUUGAUGCACGAGGAAGAACAAUUUUGGGGAAGAAGGGUUUUUGUGUGGUAUAUAACAUAUACCAAACGGUUAACAUUCAAG